UUCUUCUUCUUCAUCAUCUUCUUCGUCGUCUUCUUCUUCUUUGUAGGCUGCUUCAAGGGAGUCCAUGCGAAGGCGUUUAGUUCUGGAUUUUGAAUUGGGGAUGAUUCUUCUCUUUCUUUUGAUUGAUAAAUAUGAGAAAACGCGAGUAUUUUCAGGUUUGGAAGAGAUUCAGAUUACAAAGACACAGAGAGAGGAAAAGCCAUUCUCAUUCUGAGCAAGAAGAACAGAAGAAACAUCGGCUUCGGAAUUGGGCUUGAAAAAGAUAGGUCUUGCUUCUCAGAAAUUUUUCCUGUUAAAUAGGGCCAAAGCCCAUUCACUUGCAAAAUCCAACAACCACUAAACGACUUGCAGCUUGCAGCCUCUCAGAAUAUUUUUCCUGUUAAGUGAAUAAUCUCAUAAUAUAAAUAAAUAUAUUCCAAUUCAAAAGCUCUCUAUUUUAAAAGUUAGAAAAAUAUAUAUUUUUAAUUAUUUUAGAAAUGAAUGUUUCCUGGA
rnacentral:misc_RNA from 1 species